rnacentral:lncRNA from 1 species
AGUAUACCCUAGACCACCCAAACGUCCCACAACCUAUUGAAUCUCACAACAUAUGUUUGGAUAGCACUUCCCAGCCUACAACGCACUUUCUCAGGGAUUCUCAAACUUCCUCCCACCUCACAUCCUUUUAAGGCAAGUGAGUGUGGGAACUCUGGUUCAGGGAAGUUAAAUCACUUGCCUAAGGUCAUGCAGAUCAUUAAUGCCAUAGCCAAGACCUGAGCACGUUCUCCUAAAGCCAGGUCAGGCCUCUUGUCACAUACUCCAUUGACUCUAGUGCCUAACCCAUGCUCAUCACAGAGCUCACAUUGGAACCAUUGUUAAACAGACUCUAAUGGAAAUGACUUCGUUCAGCUGGUGAACAUUUUGGAAGAUUCCAGAAAAACAUGAACAAGUGUUUGAGUGCUCUUAAGGGGAUUGUCUAAUAUCUUGGCUCCUGACUCAUCCUUAGAAGUCUUCCAGCCACCUUGUACCCAUUUCAAGCCCAAGGGCUCUUUAACGUAAAUGAGUUACUGAGCAGAGUGUUGCUGGAGAUGGCCACUGGAGAGGCUGAGUCAAAUCAAUCUCCUCACCUGAGGACUUCCUAAGACCAGCGCACUGAAGGACCAGCAGCAACAACAACAAUAAUGCUAAUGCUCCCUUAUGGACAAGACUGCAAUUCUCUGCCUGCUGAAGCUCAGCUAUGACCACGUGACUUGCCUUGGCCAAUGAAAGAGGAAGAGUAUGUAACACUGCUGAAUGGAAGCAAGUGGCCCCUGCCCCUGCUGCAGAGAUUCUAGACAUGUGUGCCAUGCUGGAGCAAGGAGACAGGGAGUCCUGGAGAAAGGAGACAUGGAACAGAGCUCCCAGCCCAGUCAAUAUGUAACAUGAGUGAGAAAUAAAUAACACUUUGUUGCUAGAAGUUUUUUUUAAACUGAAGUAUAACUCAGCUUCCCCUGA